AAAUAUUCAAAAAUUGUGGUGAACGGUUGGAAAUCCUCAGAGGAGUAUAUCAAAUUUCAGAGCAUGUGUUUUUUAAACAGCCAUAAAUAACCAACUUCCUGUUGGGCGGAGCCUAUGACAUGCAGCAUGAAAGUUGUUCGGUUCAGUGAGAUCUACAUGUGUACAGAGUUUCAUAGGGAUUUGUGCAAGUAUGUGUGAGAUAUACAUCAGGUUUUCUGACUGUGUUCCAGGGGGCGGUGUAGAGCCCCUGUGCCACGCCUGGGUCCCAGCCUCUGUGGCGUCCUAAUGGCUGCAGAUUCCAACAUGUGUGCCAGUUUUCAAGAGUCUUUUAGCAUGUUAAGGGCCCCAAAAAGCCCUGAUGAUUGAAAGGAAAAAAAAUAAUAAUUAGAAGAACAAGAAUCCUUAAAAAACAAGAGGGCCCUGCACCUAACCGCGCGUUCACACCUCCGCCCUCGAGAGCGUCAAAGUGGCUGGAAGUCAUUCAUUUUCAGUGUGAGCCGACGUCGAGAAGCGGUGAGCAGUGUUGCAGCGCAACUUGGCCAUUGAGAGCAUCGAGGAGAGUUGAAAUCAGGUUAAGUUUAUGGUAAUCUGCUAUGACGCGGUUCGGCGGCAACGAAUCGGAAUCUAGAAGUCAACCGCUUGAGAGAAUGCCAGAGAACGCAGAUCUGUAAACGUUGGUUCCGACCACAUUAGUUCCCAAGCAAAAUGGAGAAGAGGCUGAUUAUUGCUGUGGCGGGUUUCCCAUUAAUCUACGACGUGUCUCUGUUUGCAUACCGGGACAUAAAUGAAAAAAAAUGAUGCGUGGACCAAUGUGUCUGAGAUUGUUGGUGUUCCUGGCGAGUUGCUGAUGCUCAUUGAUGUUAUAGGAAUAAUAACCUAAUGAUAUCAUAAAUAAUAGUAUUAUAGUCCCAGUUCACUUUUAAACCUUUAAAUCAAUUGUCCUGAUUAUACUUGCAUUAAGUAAUGUUUAUACCUGAUUAUACUUAAGUAACAUUUUCAGUGCAGGACUUUUACUUGUAUCAGAGUAUUUUUAAAGAGUGGUAUUCCACAACAAUAUUUAAUGAGGUUAACAUAUAACGUUACCCUCCUUGUGGUUAGUCUGCACUAGAUCAACAAGCUUGUUUGCUUUGCAGCUGCUUUAAAUUCAAGAUAAGCAUUCGAUCUAUGUCAAAGCAUCCACAAAUCUUUCUACAGCAUUGUUGGCAGCGCGGCCAGAGCUCUCGAUGGCGGCGGUGUGAACGCACAGUUAGUGGCUUGGGCCCUAAUAAUCCUAAGGAAAUCAAUAGGGCCCUGAACCUUACAGGCUUGGACCUUAAUAAGAAGAAGAAUGAUCCUUAGAAAAACAAGAGGGCCCUGUAUCUUAGUGGCUUGGGCCCUAAUAAUCCUUAGAAGAACAAUAGGCCCCUGCGCCUUAGUGGCUUGGGCCCUAAUAAUCCUUAGGGGAACAACAGGGCCCUGCGCCUUAGUGGCCUGGGCCCUAAUAAAAUAAUCCUAAGGAAAAAAUAGGGUCCUUGCCCCUUCGGGCUUGGGCCCUAAUAAUCCUAAAAAAACAAUAGGGUCCUUCACAACUUCGGGCUUGGGCCCUAAUAAGAAUAAUCCUUAGAAAAACAAGAGGGCCCUGCGCCUUACUGGCUUGGGUCCUAAUAACCCUUAGGGGAACAAUAGGGCCCUGUGCCUUAGUGGCCUGGGCCCUAAUAAUCCUAAGGAAAUCAAUAGGGCCCUGCGCCUUAGUGGCUUGGGCCCUAAUAAAAUAAUCCUAAGGAAAAAAAUAGGGUCCUUCGCCCCUUCGGGCUUGGGCCCUAAUAAUCCUAAAAAAAACAGUAGGGUCCUUCACGCCUUUGGGCUUGGGCCCUAAUCAUCCUAAGGAAAUCAAUAGGGGUCUGCGCCUUACUGGCUUGGGCCAUAAUAUAUAAUCCUAAAAAAAAAAACAAUAGGGCCCUGCGCCUUAGUGGCUUGGGCCCUAAUAAGAAUAAUUCUUAGAAAAACAAGAGGGCCCUGCGCCUUACUGGCUUGGGUCCUAAUAAUCCUUAGAAAAACAAUAGGGCCCUUCUCCCCUUUGGGCUUGGGCCCUAAUAAUCCUAAGGAAAUCAAUAGGCCUUACUGGCUUGGGCCCUAAUAAUCCUUAGGGCAUCAAUAGGGCCCUGCGCCUUAUGGCGCUUUUCCACUGCAUGGUACGGCAUGGUGCGGUUCGGUUCGGUUCCCUUUUGGGGGGUUUUCCACUGGGUACAGUACCUGGUACCUGGUACUUUUUUAAGUACCACCUCAGCUGAGGUUCCAAACGAACCGUACCAUUACCAAAAUGUGACGCAUAAACUCUGGUGAUCACAGAUUGGCCGGAGAGAAUCGUCACUACUGCGUCAUUGAACUUGCGACACGAGACACAACAAAUCCCGCUACAUUUAAAUCAGCACUGCCAGCGAUGGAUCGAAUGCAACUUUUGUUUGAACAAACGCUCCUUUUUGUAACAUCCAAAAAUGGCUUUUUCGUCGUCUGUUGAGGAAGUACAGAUGUUCCUCUCGUUGAUUGCCGAGGAGCGGAUCCAGCGAGAGCUUGAUGGGGCGACGUGGAAUGAAAAAGUUUUUCAGGAGGUCGUUCAGCUCUUGGCCGCUCACGGCUAACACCAGACCUACAAACAGUGUAGGGACAAGUUAAAAAAACUGAAGAGCGACUACAGAAGCAUAAAGGACCACAACAGCUGGAGUGGUUCAAACAGACUAUCGUGGAAGUGGUUCGAUCAAAUGGACGCAAUCUACGGAGGUAGCCCAAUGAGCGUUGGGAGGGAGCCCAGGCAUGCCAUUGUUGGAGAACAUGAUUGAGGACGACUCAUUGUCCACGAUAAAUUCACUUGCACCUAUUCCAUGCAACGACGACAACUCUUCCCAGCCAGUGCUAGCAACAUCUCCACCACGACCGCCAACACCAUCAACCUUCAGCUGCAUGACAACACCACAGCGUGUGGUCACAGCUUUAUUUUCUUCAUUUUGGACCUGGUAAGUGGAAACGGAGCCUGCACCAUCAGGAACAUCUUGCGGUGUUAAGAGCAAUGCAGGUGGCAGACAUUCAGCAGAAGGAGGCAGAAGGGAAUAGAAAUCUCUGCCCAAACAUUGUUGUGUUUUUGAACCGUAUGCACCUUUUUUGUACUUUGAUAGCAUUAAAAUAAAUUUUUGUUGUAUUUGUCUAUUGUAUAUACGUUUUGCACUACAUACAUUUGCACAUUGUUUAAAGUUUGCUGUUUACAGUUUCACUUAAAUUUUAUAUAUAUCAGACAAUUGUUUACAGUUCUUGCACAAGGUAAAAUUAGCUUUUUAUAUUGUAAUUUAAACUUACUUUAUGCAUAUACUUUUUGCAUUUUAUAUAUAUUUUGAGUAGGUUUUGUUUAUAUUUUUAUCUUUGUGUUUUGCUUCAAUAAAAACAAACAAAAACAAUCAAACAAGUGUACCUCAUAACUAUAUUAAAGAUUUCAUAUUUUAUGAGCAGGUAAUGUACCUCUUAAUAAAGACAAAUGAUUAAUGCCAUAAUGAUACAAACUAAGACAUAAAAAGUUUAUUGAAAAUUCACUUUACAUAACAGGCCUCAUGAAUAGUUAACUAUUCACGUAAUGCACCAGACCUGCACGAACAUCCCUGCCCUCCUUCUCUACAGCCUGUGGCACUGCCACCAUGGUCUCUGCUGCUGGAAGUAAAUCCCAAGCAUUCUCAUAGGUUUCUCCAUGACUCUCACAAAGGUUGUGUAGAGCACAACAUGUCAGCACCAUGGAUUUCACAAGGUUGAGAGCACAGUCAUUUCUUUUCGUAAGGCAUCGCCAUCUUCCUUUUAAUUGACCAAAGGCAUUUUCAACAACUACGCAUGCUCUGCAGAUUUUCAUGUUGUAAACCUGCUGUUCUAUUGCCAGGUGUCCAGUGUCAAUGAAUGGUUUUAAGAGCAAGUUCUGCAAGGGAUAGGCAGAGUCUCCUAGGAUGUAGUAGCCAGCAGUCAUCCCACCUAUAUUUCUGGUGUUAGCUGGUAUGUUGUUUCCAAGGCUUGCCAACUCCCACAGUGUUGACAGUUGACAGUCCCAAUUAAUGUUGUUCAGUUGCUUUGACACAAUCUGUUUUGUUUAAAGCACUAUAUAAAUAAAGGUGACUUGACUUGACUUGACAGUCUCAAAACGUGAGCAUCAUGGAGGCUUCCAGGCAGUCCUGUGAAAAUAUUUCAGAAAGGUCCCUUUCCAUCCACAACACCUUGAAGGAUGAUAGAGUGCCAGCCUUUAUGGUUGAAAUAGUCACAGUGAUAUUCCUCUGGUGCUAUGAUUGGGAUGUGUGAUCCAUCAAUAACACCAAUACAGUGUGGGAGCCCCCACCUGUUAUCAAAGUAGGCAUCUAUUUCUUUAAACUUUACCUGAUCUGGAUAACAAAUUUGCUCUGGUGCCGACAGGAUUUCAGGUGCUUCACAAAACUCCUGAACACACCGACACACAGUUGUUAUGCUUACACCAAAAAGAUGUCCAACGCCUCUGUACUCAAUGCUGGUUGAAAACUUUCACAGUGCGAUGGCUACUCUUUUCUUUAGAGACACACACACGUGGAAGUUUGUGUCCUGUCUCUCCAUCACUGGACGCAAUUUGUUGCAUAAGUGGACAAAUGUUUCUUCGGACAUUCUAAAGUUCUCCAGCCACUUAGUGUUUGUUAAACACAUCCCACCACUCUGAAGCUUGGUUAAAUGUCCAAACAGAUGGUCUGUUGUGGCGACUAGUGAUGCACUUUUAGAUUAUUACCCUUGCGCACUGUCGAGCAAACCUGUUGUUGUCGUCUGUGUGUUACACUGUGUAACACUGUGUGUUACCAAACUCUCUUGUAUUUCUUAGCUGUGUUUUGUUUGGCUGCCAUCAGCCUCUUUUGAAACAAAGUCCUUCGCCUUGCAGCUAAAAACAUUCACAUGCCGAGAAUAAAGAACAGCAUUCCAUCUAUAUGCUCCAUUGUUGUGUGUUUGUUUGUGGUGCAUUUACGAUGACGUCACAGCAGUAGAGGUGGCACAACCAAAACGACAUGUGAAUAAUCCCUCCCACUCUAAAACGGUACUAAGCUGCAGUGGAUAUGCAAAUCGAGCUGAACCGUGCCAUGCCGAGCCGAGUCGUACCACACAGUGGAAAAGCGCCAUUAGUGGCUUGGGCCCUAAUAAAAAUAAUCCUGAGGAAAACAAGAGGGCCCUGCGCCUUAGUGGCUUGGGCCCUUAAAAUUUGGUAACACUUUAGAAUAAGGUUUUAAUUGUUAACAUUAACUAUAUAAGUUACCAUGAAGAAUUUAUUAAUCUUAGUUAAUCUUAAAUUCAAAACUUAAUAACACAUUAUUAAUUAAAAUUAAAAUUUAAAGUUAUAUCUGUUAACAUUAGUUAAUAUACUGUAAACUAGCUUGAACAUUCUUUUUAUUAACUAACAUUAACAAAGAUUAAUAAAUGCUGUAAAAAUAUAUCAUUCUUUGUUAGUUCAUGUUAGUUAAUGCAUUAACAGAUGUUAACAAAAGAGACCUUGUUGUGAAGUGUUACCAAAACCUUUAAUGAUCUAUAAGCAUUUGUGAAAUAAUUAUAUAAAACUGUAUUACCAGUACAGUACAUCUGUGUAGUAGAGUGUCAGGUUUAAAAUAUUUAUUAUCUCAUCUUAGGAGAUGGACAUAAACAUUUGUAUUAGCUUACAUUAACAAAAUAUAAUAAAUGCUGUAAAAAUAUUUUGUUCAUUGUUAGUUCAUUUUUGUUAAUGCAUUAACCCUCUGGAGUCUAAGGGUAUUUUUGGGG